UUUUUUUUUUUUUCUUUUGAGACAAGGUCUCUAUUAUGUUUUCUUGACUGGCCUGGAACUCAGAGACCUGCCUGCCUCUGACUCUCAGGUACUGAGAUUAAAUUCAUGGGACACCAGGCCUGCCUCUUGAGACAGGGUCUUGUCAUUUGUGCAGUCUGACCUCACACUUUUGCCUCAGCCUCUUAGGUGCUGGAAUCACAGGUGUGCUGCAGCACAUGCUGCUCUGGUUACUAAUUUUCCUGACCUCAUAGGCCAGUGUCAGAAGACUGUGGGCACUGGGAGACAAGGCAGAAACAAUGUCUCCCUAUUAUCACAAGGUCAAGCCUAUGGGAUGAACCCACUUCCUGUCCUGUUCUUCAGUCCUUCCUGAGAAAAGAGAAGGGCUAGCUCCUUUGCUCUCUCAGGGCUUCCUGCUGCCUUGAGUUCUCUGAUUCACCCCUUGAUCAAAAGAGGAGACCCAAGUUGUGGCCUUGGUAUGAAAGGACAAAAGCAGGAAAUGGGUCAAAGGGCGAAAGGGACAGAGGACUUAACUACAUUUCUGUAAGUUUUAGGACUAUGGUGUGGCCCAAAGGAAGGUCUUCCAUGGUGUUUACAAAUCUCCUAUGUACUUUUUUAGUGGCCCACCCUAGAUUCCGAGUUCACUGCAGUAGCUAAUUUUAUCUGCUUUGCCAAAGGUAGAGCUCUCAGGAGCCUAAGGAGAUGAAUGCUGGCAUUGAGAGAUGGUCCACAGGACAGAAAUGAACUCAGCUUGAAAUCUGAACUUCAGCAGAAGUUGUGGCCAGAUUAAAGGUGUGUUUUCCUGCCUCAAGAACCACAUCAAAAGUUUGGACUGGAAGUGGAUUCGCCUACUUCAAACCAAGCAAAAAUGUUUCUCACAGAGACAGAGACCAGGAGCUCUGUGGCAUUUGUGAGGUUUAUGAUGGCUGUUGGCAGUACUUGAUCCAUGGCAACCAGGAGCAGAAUGCUCAGCUUUUAGUCUCUGGGAACCAUCAUGCUGUGCUUUUCUGGAGUCCUGUGGCAUUCCUUUAUGGCAGAGGUGUUACACAGAAGGUAACAGCUAGCAAAACCCUUCCCAUCUUGAAGCUUCUUUGUUGUUUUUUGAGACAGCGUUUCCCAGUAGUUAUGGAGCCAGUCCUGGAACCAGAUUGGCCUCGAACUUACAGAGAUCCGUCUGCCUCUGCCUCCUAAGUGCUGGGACUAAAGGCGUGCACCACCACCACCCAGCUUCUUUUUUUUCCUUCUGUGGUGCUGAGUAUGGAAUCAAGAGACCUGUUCAUGUUAGACAAGCUGUGACUAUACAGUAACCUUACCUGCACCUACUCACCUGCUGUAACAGGGUCUUGCUGUAUUACCUAGGCUGUCCGGGAUGCCAUCUUUCCGUCUCUUCCAGAUUUUGGUCACCAUACCCCGGACUCAAAGGAUCACCCCACUGUGUCCUCAAGUAGCUGUGACUAUAGGGCUACCUGUUUUUUGUUUUAGUUUUUUUUCCUCCUGAGGGUCUUCCUGUGUAGCCUAGGCUAGCUUGGAAUUCAGGGAUCCUUUAGCACUGCUGGGAUGCUAGGUGUGUACCGCCGUUCUUGGCUGGCUUUAAACUCCCACAAUCCACUUUCUCACCCAUACUGUUUUGGGAUCAUAAUAGGCACCAUGCUAUGGGAUUCUAAGAAAAAAAGUUCAGCCUGGAGAGAUGGUUCAGUGCUUAAGAUUUCUUGCUGCUCUUCCAGAGGAUUCAAGCUCAGGUUCUAACACUCUCAGCUUGCUUACAACUACCUGUUAAUUACAGCUUCAGAGGCCCAGCGCCCUCUUCUGUCCUCGUUGGGUAUAUCUGCACACAUGGAACAGACAUGUAUAAACAGAAAUGUAGAAAUAAUCUUAAAAAAAUUAAGCUGGGUUUGGUAGUGUACACCUUUUUAGUCCUGGGACUUGAGAGGCAGUGGCAGGUUGAUCUCUGUGAAUUGAGGCCAGUUUGCUCCACAGAAUAAGCUCCUAAAAGUAUUUAAAAUUUUUAUUAAGAAAUUCAGCCAGGGGCUAGAGACAUGGCUCAGUGGUUAAAAGUACUGACUGCUCUUUCAGAGGACCCAGGUUCAAUUCC